rnacentral:rRNA from 1 species
CUCGGGUGACGAGUGGCGGACGGGUGAGUAAUGUCUGGGAAACUGCCUGAUGGAGGGGGAUAACUACUGGAAACGGUAGCUAAUACCGCAUAAUGUCGCAAGACCAAAGAGGGGGACCUUCGGGCCUCUUGCCAUCAGAUGUGCCCAGAUGGGAUUAGCUAGUAGGUGGGGAACGGCUCACCUAGGCGACGAUCCCUAGCUGGUCUGAGAGGAUGACCAGCCACACUGGUAACUGAGACACGGUCCAGACUCCUACGGGAGGCAGCAGUGGGGAAUAUUGCACAAUGGGCCGCAAGCCUGAUGCA